ensembl:lncRNA
AUGAGCUCCAGCAUGGCCGGUGCCAAGAAGGAGCAACCCAGAAUGAGCAAGAACGGCCCCAGGGUGGGCCAUGCCUCUGGACAAACAUGUAGUAAUACUGAAGGUACACGGACCCACAGCCACCACGGGAGCGGUGCUGCAGCCAGUCUUGGGAUGGAGAUGACACUUUCCAUCUGCCACCUCCCUCCUGCCCAGCAGUGGGAGAGGGGUGCCGGGAAGCGGCAGAUGCAGAGUGUGACCUGCUUUUCCUUUCAUCUGCAGAGCGAGUUGCCGUCUGGGAUGCGGUGGCCGCCUUCGUACACAAGCAGCUCCUGGUGCACAAGGGGGUCUGGAUUCCCACCUUCGGCUCCUUCAUCAUCCAUCAUCUCCAAGGAGAUCAGGAUGGAGGACAGGACUGUGACCCUGUGCUGGCCCGUGUUUCACCUGGCCAGCAUCCUCACAGCUGUGCACCACAAGUCCCUUACGGCAGGGAGUCCCUGCCAGGUAGGAGGGGAGAUUCAAGCUCUGCUGGCUUUGUGGAUGGGGCAAAGAGGGCCACCACUUCCCUUCUCAGAAGCAGACCUCCCCCUCGCAGGAGCCCAUCCAAACACGGGGCCGUUCUGGAUGAUGUCCCCUAGAGCCAGUUCUAGGUGGAACAGCAACCAUAUCAUCAACACCGUCCCUGGUAUUUUCUCAGCCCACAGGAAGGUGGAGCCCCUGAAGUGCAGCCAGGUGGUCGCAGCCACCUCUGUGAGCAGGCGGAGAGCACGGGCUUGUAUCCAAAGCACCGUAUCACUGCUCUCCAGCUGCCUGCAGAAUGAGGAGAACAUAGCCGUGGUCCUAAAGGAUGUUGGAGUACUCUUCAUUGAUGGGCUGACCUUCCAAAUGAAGUUCUAUCAUGACUUCCUCGAGAAGCUGUCAGGGAAAGCGAACUUCAGGAGAGCCGUUCGCAUGGCCCCUUCGCUGCUGGACAUGGGGGUGUCCCGUGUGACACCGGUGGCUUCCCUGGUGUUCUCUGGCUGCCUUGUGGUCUUACCCAAGUGAGUAUUUUUCUGCUGCUUGAUGCAGCUGCUCAGCUCUCAUUCCGUAGCGCUUGUGCCUCGUGUCCAUCAGUGUCCUGCCCAGGAGGAUGUGCCAGAGAAUCACAGAACGAUUGGAGCAGGAAGGAACCCCAAAAGGGCACCCAGACCCACCUCCCUGCAGGAAACAGGGACACCUACCUCCAGAUGAGGUUGCUCUGAGCCAUGUCCAGCCAGGCCUUGAAUGCCUGUCUGGACAACCAGCACCUCUCUGGGCAAGACAUCCCAGUGCCUCACAACCCUCCAGCCAAAUCCUUCUUCCUCCCAUCCCAGCCAGUCUUCCCUCUUUCCGCCUGAAACUGUUUCCCCUCCUCCUAUCCCAAGUGACCCUGCUAACGGCUUUAGAAAGCCUUCAUGCAGCAUGAAAACGUGCCAGUGAGCAAACACGCAGAGAGAGCAGCAAGGAUUUCUGUUGCACUGCGUCACAUCGCUCACUGCCCUCUCCUCCCUAACAGGUUUCAAAUUGAGCUGGUCCCCAAACUGCCGCCCCUGAUACACCGCAAGUCCUCCAGGAGCUUCUCUGGGGCACGGAAGCCAAUAAAAGAUGAGACUUUGCCA